AUUGAACGCUGGCGGCAGGCUUAACACAUGCAAGUCGAACGAGUGGCGGACGGGUGUGUAAUGCUUGGGAAUCUAGCUUAUAGCGGGGGAUAACUACGGGACACUGUAGCUAAUCCCGCGUACCAUAGUAUGACCCCAAGUGGGAGUAGGUAGUUGGUGGGGUAACGUCUCACCAAGCCGACGAUCUCUAGCUGGUCUGAGAGGAUGCCCAGCCACACUGGGACUGAGACACGGCCCAGACUCCGACGGGAGGCAGCAGUGGGGAAUAUUGCGCAAUGGGGGCAACCUGAUGCAGCCAUGCCGCGUGUAUGAAGAAGGCCUUCGGGUUGUAAAGUUCUUUCGGUAGCGAGGCGUUAACCACAGAAGAAGCACCGGCUAACUCCGUGCCAGCAGCCGCGGUAAUAC
rnacentral:rRNA from 1 species